CACGUAGGGUGCGAGCGUUGUCCGGAAUUAUUGGGCGUAAAGGGCUCGUAGGCGGCCAACUAAGUCGGACGUGAAAUCCCUCAGCUUAACUGGGGAACUGCGUCCGAUACUGGAUGGCUUGGAUUUGGGAGAGGGAUGCGGAAUUCCAGGUGUAGCGGUGAAAUGCGUAGAUAUCUGGAGGAACACCGGUGGCGAAGGCGGCAUCCUGGACCAAUAUUGACGCUGAGGAGCGAAAGCCAGGGGAGCAAACGGG
rnacentral:rRNA from 1 species